GCCUGUAUAAUUUGGUCCGCGUUCGCGUACAGUCGACAGCGCCAGGCGCCAAGUGGAGAUCCAUAUCGAUUUUGCUUUGCUGAACAGAGCUGCUGGUAAACUUCAAUGCCCUGCUGGAAUUCUGAGUGCGUGUCGUCCACCUGGUGAGGAGUCCUUGCUGCCAGCGUUUGUAAAGGCAUUGGCUAGGUAUCGGACAGUAUUAUACCAUCGGCAUUUGCUUGGACAGCUGGGAUAGGCGUUGCUUUGCAGAAAUGCAUAAACCUCGAUCGAGUUAUUCAUCGCACAAAAGGAUAAACGCCCUCAAAUGCUACGUGUGUAACGUUAAGGUCAUAGCCAAAGAUUUGCCCAGCCACAUGAAAUGUAAGCAUAUGGCGGAAUAUGACAUUCUCGCUAAAAAAAAACACGAUAUGUGGCUGGCUCUCUCAUUGAAAAAGCUGCUCAUGACAUGAGCUGUGCAUCAAUUUCUCCACGCCCAACGUUUCCCCAACAGAGCACGUCUUUUCAAGGGGUUGACUAAAGUAUCACAGUAGCCACUGGUGAAAAUACACCAGUAACAACGCCUAGUGCC